rnacentral:lncRNA from 1 species
AGGAUUUUAAGUUUAAUCAGAAUUAUGUCUAUUUUACAAAAGGUUAAAAAUCAAUCAAUUUCAGUAAAAUAUGCAUGCCUUUGUUUUAAUAUUGUGAGCUCAGAUGUUAGAGUUGUAGAGAGGCCUAUUUAAUUCCCAGAUCUGUCAUGAAUUAGCUAAGUGACUUUUUGUAAAUUCCCUUACCUUCCUGAGCUUUGGUUACCUUAUCUUUAAUAUGAGGAUUAUUCUCACUCAAAGUGUUGAUAAAACAAAGGUUUUGUUAGGAUUAAAUGAGGUAAUAAUUGUAAAAUAUGCCAUACGAUGUGGCUGGCAUGUAAAGAACACUUGACAAACGGGAUUAUGGAAAGUACAAUACAUCAUUAUUACUAAAACUUUAACCAUUUUUAACUCUUAGUAGUGCUCUAAAAAGUUCUUCAUUUUUAUCAGAAUACUGUGAAGUUUAGCUUCAAUAAAUUGUCACCAGAAGAUUUGAUGAGGGGAGGAUUCCUCUUCUCUGUCUUGGAAAGUAGACUGUUGAAGUAAAUGCAAUUCCUAUAGUGAUGUACAAAGUAAAGAAAAAACACCAUGAUAAUAAUGAAUGAGACUUCAUUACUGGUAUACUUACUUUGAUUCUGUUUUGCCUGUGUAAAUGAAACUUUUUAGGAAAAUUCUUAACAUUUUAGCAAACAUCUUCAUCUGUUUUGAACAUCAAAGUACUCCUUGAGAGAGUAUAGCUUUCUGAUUCCACAGUUUUGUAAGGUGACACUCGGGACAGUCAAAUGUCUCUCCAGGUCAUUCUUGUGGUAAGUAAUGCAGGUGGGGCUUGAACAAAUUUUUCUUGUCCUCUGCUCUUAUCUGCCACUAAGAUAUCUCUUAGAGCUUCUCCAAAGGGGAUCUUAAAAGAUGUAUUAACUGGAGGUUAAAUCACACAUCCUAGCUAGUGUGGUUACAGAUAAUUUAGGGUACCAGGAUUAUUGAUGUAAUUCAUAAGUAUAUCAGACCUAAUUAACAUGAACUCUAUUACUCUGAUGGUUCUUUCUUUGGAUACAGGAUCGAUAAAUAGAUAUAAUCAAAAUUGAAAUGUUUGGACAGAAUCACAUGAUAAACAGGGAAAAAUGAAGAGUGGCUACAGAAUAGAAUUAGAGAGCGAUACAUGGUGAUGGUUUUAUAAAAGAUGUAACAGGGUUAAAGAUGCAUUGCAUGUGGGAUUUGCAUUGUUCCUGGUUACUGUCUCUCUCUCUCUCCUCACCAAUACCUCAAUACCUCUCUUUUAUAAGAAACAAUGUUACUAAAUGUGUGUAUGUAUCCGAAUAAAUUAGAUCUCCAAGACUUCCAGAGGAUAAGGGGUCAGAAAUACAUGAGGCCUGAAAUCUUGCAAGACCUGACUUUGUUCGGAUGAUAUUAAGAUGGCUCAGAAUGGGGUUUGGAAGGGUAAUUUCUCAAUAAACUGUAUUGAACACAUAAAUGAAUGGCCUCUUUCAACCUUUAAGGUACUUGAACAGAUGCAGACAAGGGUGGCUAACCCAGUGAUGUUUUAAAAAUGUUCCCGUUAAAAGUUUGAGAGGCUUAUAUGCAGUGAAUUUUAAAUCUAUUUAAAAUCUAUUGUGUCUUAGUUUUACAAUAAGGAAGAAUAUAAUUGAAAUUCUCAUAAACUAGUAAUGUUUGGAAUCUUUUCUUUGGAUAGUUGCUUUAAGAUAAAUACAGCAUAUAAUGAAAUAACUUCCUUGCUCUGGUCAUUAAAUGCUUAUGCAAUUAUGUUAAUUAAAGCUUUACUAUGUUUUUUGCAGAGUCAUCUUUUCUUGCUUCUAAACUGUUUGGGCUGCCUCUACCUUUGCUGCUUCCUCUUGGGAUCAGGAAAUUUGGCAAUUGCUAAAUCCAGUGUUGGUUUUUGCAAUGCCAUCUUUUUUGACUCAUCAAUUUCAUUUGAUGGAGAUGACUGCUGCCUCUUCUUUGAGACAGUUUCUUCAUUUGGCUCUCCUGGUUUUCCCCAAAUCAAACUGAACAUUCUCUCUCAAGAUCCUUUGCAGGUUUCUUCUAAUCUCCCAAGUUUUUAGUGUUGGAACAUCUUUGUUCUUUUAUCUACCUGCACUCAUUCACUUGGUAAUCUCAUACAAUUGUAAAGCUUUAAAUACUUCAGGGACUUUUAGAUUUAUGUCCACAGCUUAGACUCCACACACCUCUGCCCAGCCAGAUUGCAAGUCUUAUCUCCAAUUGUUCACCAUUGACACCAUUAACCAUGUUAGUUCAUUAAGUCCAGCCAACCAUAUGAUCCUUUCCCUUGAGCCUGUUCCUCCCAAGGUCUUCCUAUCUCAGUAAAAGACAGACCUAGUCCUACAAAAGCUUGGACCAAAAACUUGGAGUAUCUUGGGCUCUCUCCACACCCCAUGUUCAUUCCAGCUCCUAUUCGGUGCACUUUUAGAGCAAGAGUAUUCUGAGCCUAAGUACUUGUCAUCACCUCCUCUGCUCCUGCCUGAUACCAAGUCACCUCCUAUAUGUAAUGCAACUAGUCUCUUCCUGUCUGUCUCCUGGAUGGUCUACUUCAACACAGCAGCCCAGAGGACCUUGUUACAAAGCAAAUCAGGUCAUGUUAAUAUCUUCUCUAGUCCCUUCAUUUACCUCCCCAUCUCAGACUAGAAGCCAACAUUCUAUGAUAGAUUUAAAUCUCCAAAAUAGAUCCUGAAAUCUGCUCUGGCCUCCCCUUCACUCCUAAAGCUCCAUCCACAUCCCCACUGCAGGCAGGUCCAGGUGUACUGCCUUCCUUGCUGUUCUCAAAUAUCCCAGAAACUCCCGCCAAAGGGCUUGCUGUUCCCCUAUCUGGAAUUCCAUCUCCUGUGAUACCCAAAGUUCACAUCCUUGUUUCUUUCAAUAUUUAUCCAAAUAUUAAUCACUCAGUGGGGACUUUACAACAUGCCUUAUUUGACAUCGCACCUCUGUGUCUUAAGUUUUAAUCACAAAGCUACAUUUCAUUUGUUUCUGCUGUUGAUUGUCUGAAGACAGUUAUAUUACAUCAAGAAUUCAGUAAAUGUCUGUUAAUUGAUGUAAGUAUCCCCCAAAAUGUAAUGUUUAAAAACAUUAAGUUCAUCAUUUCAUACACACACAUUUUAUAUCAAAAAUUUUUAUAUUCAAUAUAUAAUAUAUAUAGGACCUUCUUUAUUUCUCUUUCUCAAAAAAGGAAAAAAAAAAGAAAGAAAGAAACAGAAUACACCAAAUACCAUUCAUGCCAUUCAAUGGCUCCUUAAGUUUGUUCCACUGGCUUCACUUCUAUUAAUUGUAUCUUUUUUGAAUUUUCAUUGACGAUAUUUUGUAUUGAGUUAUUUGAAAAAUCUUUCCUCCAAAUUUAAUGUUAAUUUUAUUACCACUUGAUUCCAUCAUUCCAAACAUAAUUUAGACAUUUCACUGAAAUAAACGGUGGUUGUUUAUUUACUAAGCACAAAUAUUUUAAAGACAUAAUAUGGGUUAACUACUCUUUUAAAAAGAUGCAAGCUACAAAUAUUGUGUAUGAGAAAGGAAGGUCAAAUCUAAGCUAUAGAUCUGAUAUGUGACCUAUAUAAAAUUAUAAUAACACAAACUAAAAAUUUAGAGUUGUAUUUAUAUAACAUGUAAAAUAUAAAGAUUUGAUUAUGUAAUUUUACCUCCAGGACAACUUUCCUUUUUAUACUCCCCCCCCCCCAAAAAAAAACAUGAAUAGCUUUAAUGUUAUAAAACCACACUAGCAUUCCUUCAAAACUGUUUUUGUUGUUGUUGUUUAGCUCCUUUAAUCUUUCAAAAAGUAAACAUAAAAGAGAAAGAGCAAGAGAGAAAGAAAGAGGGAGAGAAAAAAGAAAUAACAUCUUUGUCAGGAAAACUAGAUAAACAUGAUGUACUGCUUAAGAUCAUGGAUCUGGAGCAAACUGCCUGGGUUUAAAUUCCUGCCAUCCCACUUACUAGUGCUUAUUGGGCAAAAUCCUCACCAUCUCCUUGCCUUUGUUUUCUAAGCUAUUAAGUAGAGAUAGCAAUAGAACCUACAGAAUAGGAUUAUUAAUAAGAGUAAAUGGUAUAAUGCUUAAGAUAUGCUUGUAACAAGCAUUAUAUGAGAAAUGCUUGUAGGAGUUCCUUUUGUGGCUCAGUGGUUAAGGAACCCUACUAGGAACCAUGAGAAUGCAGGUUUGAUCCCUGGCCUUGCUCAGUGGGUUAAGGAUGUGGUGUUGCCAUGAGGUGUGCUGGAGGUUGCAGAUGUGGCUUGGAUCCCAUGUUGCUGUGGCUGUGGCUGUGGCUGGUAGGUGUAGAUCUGAUUCGACUCCUAACCUGAGAACUUCCGUAUGCCAUGGGCACAGCCCUAAAAAGCAAAAAAGAAAUGAAAAGAAAGAAAUGCUUAUAUAAUGCUUAAGAAAUGCUAGUAGUGGAGUUCCCGUCGUGGCGCAGUGGUUAACGAAUCCGACUAGGAACCAUGAGGUUGCGGGUUCGGUCCCUGCCCUUGCUCAGUGGGUUAACGAUCCGGCGUUGCCAUGAGCUGUGGUGUAGGUUGCAGACGUGGCUCGGAUCCCGCGUUGCUGUGGCUCUGGCGUAGGCCAGUGGCUACGGCUCCGAUUCGACCCCUAGCCUGGGAACCUCCAUAUGCCGCGGGAGCGGCCCAAGAAAUAGCAACAACAACAACAACAACAAUAAUGCCACGGGAGCGGCCCAAGAAAUAGCAACAACAACAACAAAAAAAAAAA